ACAGUUUCCUAACAGCUCUGCUCGUGUAUAUAAGAGAGGUCUACCAGUCAGUUCAGCACUGCAGAAACCUCCAGGAUCUUCUCUGACCAUCUGUUGAAGCUGUGUGAUCAUUAAAUCAACCAUGCUGAAGGUAGCAAUUGUGCUUGGAUGCCUCCUGAGCCUCAUUCUGGCUGAACCUGUGGAGCAUCAGCGGUUUGCCCGCUCAAGCUCUGGUUCCAACUCUAAUGAGUCCUCCAACACGUCUUCCAUAAAUAACGUGUUGCUCCAGCUCAUCCUUGCUCUCCUGCAACAAACAACUACAACUGCAACUACGACCACUGCAACAACCACGACUCCAAGGGCAGCAACAUAAAAUGGAAAUAUCUACUAAAGAAUGAAGAUGGAGCUUUUUUCCACCAAAGUGCCUCAACACUCUUCAUUCUACUUCAUUGAACAUAAAAUCAAGUUGCUGUUUUAUGGAUUUAUGAUCAAAUAAAAAAUAUCAAUGCAAAA